rnacentral:tRNA from 1 species
GAACAAGAAGCGAAAAUUUGCUAUCGGUUUCGACCCGGUCUUUGGUUAAUACAAAACCCUUGUUUU